AUGGAUGUUAAAACUAUGAAGGAGAGAAUAUAUCACCUGAAACAGGGCUUUCUCAGUCAGAUUAUUUUACCUAAUCAUAUUUCAGUAACUCAGAUAUUGUGGCAGUAUCACAGCUCACCUUUAUAUGUAAUAUUUUACUGCUGUAAGAAGAUUUCAUUGCAAAGCUUACUUGAAAGGAAUAAUAGGAAAAAAAAAGAAAAAGAAAAAGGAAUUGUGAUUCAAAGAAUCUAUUCAGCUGAUACAGCUUUUGUAGGAAAAACUGCAGGGUGCAAAAUUCACUCCUGGAAGAACUUCAGGGAAGUUUCCUCCAGUUUGUUGCGAAGGAUUUUACUCCCGAAUUCCUCAGAAACGGACACAUCCUUUCCAGGAGCUUCGUGCAGCGUAAGGAGCUGCUGGAUGUUCUCCGCGCCCAAGCCGGCCCAGCCGACCCUUCCGGCCGAGGAAGCAGCGGGGCCGCCGCAGCGCGGAGCCGCUCCCGCCCGGCCCGGCCCCACCGCACCCACCGCCGGGAGGGCUGCGCGCAGCGCCCCUGGCCGAGCGCCCGGCCCCGCAGCAGCGGGCGGGAGGGGCCGGCGCGGGGUCUCGAGCCAUGUGGUCUGCGGGCCACAACAGCCGCAACUGCCGAGGGAAGACGGUGACCGCUCAGGGAAGGACGGAUCCCGACUGAUUCACAUCCAGACAGGCAGCCGAUGCUGACAGCAUGAGUCACUGUGCACUGCCUAGGAAGGACCCGGAGAGACAUCACUGGUGCCCAUAGGGAUAAGCCAGGGAGCACAGCCGUCUGGCUAGAAACAGGGCAGGUCCAGCCCAUGACACACAGGCCAGAGUGACCAGAGGAGCCCUGGCAGCGUGGAAGUUCUCCCAUGCCUGAGAGGAAGCACAUGAGGUUUGAACAGUGCUGCCUUCUGAGGACAGAGGAGAGCGACAGGAUGCUUGACCCAUAGCACUAGUGCAGGCUGUGGCACAGCUGUCCUUGGGCAUGCUGUAGCUGGACAUCCACGCAGCCACAUGGCUGCACUGUGAGCAGCCCACAUGCAUCCUGACCAUGCCAAGCACAGCCCCCAGGCAACCACAGGACUCAUGUCCUCAUGCGUGGUCCCCCAGCAUUCCCAAGGCAGCCCAGAUAUCACUCUGUGUCACUGGAGGCCGUCACGCACACCACUGGGAGAUGAGCGAGGCAGGCCACAUGGCCAGGCUGGUCAGCAGUGGGGCACAAACCGCUGCAUGCAGCGCCUGCUAUGGCAGCUCACAUGCUCAUAGGCUGAGGCACACCCUAUGCACCUCUCCUCUCCGCUCCUCAGACAGGACAAGCUAUGCUGGCUGCUGUUACUGCUGGGCUGCAAACACCCCCAGGCCACAGAGCCGCCACAGCCCCAUGCACACCAUGGGGCCCCAAGGGAGCAGCCCCCACCAGCAGCAGCAGGGCUGUUUGCUCUGGCUCGAACUCACCAGCAGUGCCAGAAGCAGCAGGAUGGCAGGAAGCUGUGAAAAGUUUUAAACUUAUUUUCUAAAUAUUUUCAAAUUGGGAAAGAAAGAUUGGACUUGAUCUUGUUUUAACAGGACUGAUCCAACAGAGGCUAAAUUUAAGGUCAAGAAGUCUGUCCUGCAAAAAUCAAACUGGACACAAAGACAAGACAAGCCUUCCCCAGCAACAGAAGAGGAGAGUUGUUCAGGUUACAGUGGCUUAGAUUGCCCCCGAAAAUACCUCUGGGAAGUAAAUUGGCAUUUGCCGUGCAGUUUAGUUAUCUUAAGACCCUAGUUCUUCAACUAGUUGUGUGUGUAACUUUACCUUGUAAACAGCUGAAGAAACUGGGUAAAAUUAACCACCUUAUUAUUGCAGGAUGACAAGCCAAGCUAGAAGCUGUGCUUCUCAAAAAAUAUAUUUUUUAAAAUCACUGUAUACUUGUUGCAAUUAAUGCAUUGCAAACAUACUCUCUGUUAACUACUGGUGCCAUUUAGCAGCACAGAGUCCCACUAAAGUAAGUUUUACAUAAAGUACCUGAGCGUGCAUACUAUCCAAAUAAUUUAGCUUCCCAAAUGCAAAAUGUUUAAAGAAAAAAAUAAAUUCCAUUCAUUUUAUACA
rnacentral:lncRNA from 1 species